UCAUACUUCUUGGGCAGAGAGAUUCUUACAUGAAGUAGAGUGAUUCUGGUCUAGACCUUGUGAAAUUGAAGACUAGUUAAAAGUUCAAAAUUUGGGAAGCUGAGUACUGGAUCAGGGCUUCUCAAUAGUGCAGGCAAAGGUCAGUUUUGUGGUGACGUGGGGAUGGUGACAAGAGAUGUGAAAAGCAGUUGGAUGAAACUGAGUUGGAUGGGACUGAUGAAUUUGGAGCAAAUAAAGAAGGUGUGAAUAGGAAGAGUGCCAAAGAGAAAAGGGGGGAAGCUGCCAUCAUCCCUGAAUGAAAACUGGAGUCAGCCCAUGAGGAACCAAGAAACAGAUGGGGGAUGGACAAAUGGAAGGCCUGAAUCCAGUUCUUUCUCCUAGCAACAGAGGGUGAAAAUCCCCUGGAAGUUAACUCAGGCUUGCCUGCUUUAGCUUCACUGCAGAGCUUAUUUCUUGUUUAGUCGUACUGCUGCAGGACCUGCUGCAAGAGUUUAUCUAAGCUGAUGUUAGUGGUGUAAUACUAACUGAAGGUCUCUGUACAGCAGACCCUGAUAUCUCUCUCUGAAGAGAAAUGUACAUUAAACUCUGGGACCAGCAGCUCCUGGAAGGAAUUAGUCCCCUCUCUGGCCACAGCAGGAGUAAUUUGGGAAGUCUCCCUUUACCUUCCUUACCCACAUGGUUAUUUAUACUCAUCAGCAAAGAGGUUUAAUUUCCUCUCCUUCCUUCUGUGUUGUACCAAUGUAGUGCUUAGGUCAUCAAAUCAAGUUAUCCACUGAGAAGCUUAUUCAAGUUGUGGUUUGCAUUUCAGUUUUUUGCAAUGUCUUGAAUUGGUGGUGAUAAAGCAUGGUCUUUGUUUUUCUGGACUUCAUUAUAUGAGGGUGACCUUUGGUUGUCCGGAUCCACAUGCUUAAUUGUCUAGAUCUAAAUGCUCUCUUAAAGACACUUUUAGGUAUGAUAGCUUAGUAGCUAUAAGAUUUCUCUCUAGAACAAUCGGGAAAGAAAAUAGUUGGCCUUGUUUGGUAUGAACAAGAAUAUUCUAAAAUGAGCACUAAUGACCGACUACCACCAGAGGGCACUCUGACUCUUUGAUUUAUCUUUGCUUUUAAAGUACUGUAAAAAUAUUGAAUCCUUAAGAGGAAAAGUACUAAUUUAUUUCUUGUGGAAGAAAUCACGAAUAGUUAUCUCUUUCCUCGCUUAUCAAUAGUAUUAUCACAAUCUUGGUAUCAGCUAUGCACAAAGAUGAUAUUGUUUUUUUGGAAAGUAUUUAUGGAAUGUUAAAAUGUGAAAAUGUGAAGGUGUACUGUGCAUUUUUGUUAACAGUUUUUGGAGUUGACUUGAAAGCAAAGAACUUUCCCAGUAUAUCUGAUGUUUUUCCGGACAUCGUAAGCCUGAUAAAUCUACCAAGUAAAACACUUUUUUUUCUUAUAUAUAUUUAAAAACAUAUAUAUUUAAAAACAAUCUAUAUUUAAAAAGGUCUUAGGAUUAUUUCACUCCAAAAGCCGCCCAAGUUGAAAGAGAAGGGUGUUUGGAUUUGCCUCCAUACAUAUUUGUCAAUUUAUCAUUUUUAUAUGAGUAGUGUAUUAUCUGAGAGAUCAGAAAUGAAU